CCCACUGAGCCACCCAGGCGCCCCAGUCUUUUUUGUUUUAAUAUAAUCACCUUUAAGAAUUCUCUAUUUCCUGGGGCUUUUUUUUUUUUUUUAAGAUUUUAUUUAUUUAUUUGACAGAGAUCACAAGUAGGCAGAGA